GAUGACAAAAUGGCGCCGAAUUUGGACGAAGUUGUGGAUUUACCUUGUCGAUGGUUAAACAGGUAUGAUCUACUUGAAACCAAGUUGAAACUUGUUUAAAAUGUUCUUGAUACCAUUAUGUCUGAGAUGAUUUACAUUUUUUGUAGGAUGUCGACGAGAUCGCCGAUAAACAGCGGAGUAAAGUGGAGAACUUGGCCAAAUACGUCCAUUUGCAGGAGGUAUGCACAUUUCGAAUUAUUAUUUCGGUCAGAAAAUAUUAACUAUUUUACACCAAACCAGUGAUAAUAUAUUUAAAUAAGUACCAUUUAUGUUUCAAUCAAAAAGAUUUAGGGAAAAAGGUAAUGUAAGUCCACUGCUGUUUAUCUGAAUUUGCAAGCCACAAAUUGACGUUUAACUAUGAUUAUUGCAUGGCCAUUUUCUUGUGAAAUAUUAGUGCUAGGCAUUUCACACAUACCAAUGACCACCCCCAAAAGUACCAUCUCUGAACCAUAUAAGCACCUCAGAAUAGCCAAAGCUCUUAUGGUUUGGUAGAUAGCAGUAUGGCGAAGGCGUCGUUUUUGGGUGUGGUCAGUUUCGGACGUUUCGCCCCGGAUUGGGGUUCGGGCAGCGUUACCAUGUUGACCGUCAUGGUCAACUUACCCUAAAACAGUUGAGAUUAUCUGUCCUAAAUGAAAUGCAUACAAACCCAUAUACAGGUCCUAGACUAAUUGGUUGGUGGUAGCAGGGCCGUCGAGAGGGGGGCAGGGGGGGGGGGAAAUUGCCCCCGGCCCCGAGGUGCUGGGGGCCCCUGAAAAUUUUUUGUUGGGCCCCAGUCUUUUGUGUGUUAAAUAUUUCCGCGCAAAGGACAAGAUAUCUGUUUUUUGGGCUAAGUACCGAAAGUUGGCAUGAAAAAUUGAGAUAAAGUCCCUGGAAAGUAAUUGUAACGUACUUGUCCGGAAAAAUUUUUUACCUAAUAGUUGGCGACGGGGGGUGGGGGGGGGGGGAGGUUGUUCUCCGAAAAAAUUUUUUUCCGAAAAAAGUUUUAAAUAGGGGCUCCUAAAAAAAAUUUGUCCCUGGCCCCCGCCAACCUCUCGGCGGCCCUGGGUGGUAGAACACUUACGACAGGAUCAAUCUUAAAUAACCUUAAACUGUAAGAAUAAAUGGUCACAUCAAAGACAAAGAUCAAUCCCAAAGUAUAAAAUCUGCUCUGUAAACUUACGACGAAGUGGAGAAAUGUGUACAUGAGCGG